UGCACUCAAGAGAUUCCAUCAUUACGGCCAUCCAUGUCUAAGGCAUUACAAAUGUUCGUGAAGAAAGACGAAGAGUUGCCUCCUCCUACUAAUCCGCCAUUCGUGGAUGAGAAAACCAUGGAACUUCACGACCCUUGGGAUAAGUACUUGCUUAAACAAGGCGAUUCUGCUUCGAUUGCCAAACUUAUCUCACAGGUUCUUUUUACCCCAGAUGAUGAUAUCUCUGUGCUCCUGAACUGAAAGUGAUGUAAAGAUUAUAGUUAUCUCAAGCAUAUCAUUUCGCCUCGUGUUCUUGAAGGAAACUUCAUCGUGAUCGAGCAGUUAGUUACAACAACGACAACUAUGUUUCUGUCCCAAACAAGUUGAGGUCGGUAAUAUGAAUUCUCAGUAUUCCACAACUCAUGAUCAAGCAGUUAGUUGUAAGUUCAAAACUUCAUAAUACAUUUUUCAAUUUUUUCAUGUAUUAUUUGUCAAUUAGGAAAAUAUUUUAUCUAGGAAAACAAGCUCCACAAGACGCAAGUGACAACCCAACUAUGCGUAAGUGCAAGGGCAGAGGUAGGUAGGGUCGAAGGUGUUCAUCUGAACCCCCUUCAAUAGAAAAUUAUUCUAUUUAUACAUGUUUUAAUUUUUAUUUUUUUUAUGUAUAUACAAUAACCUCUUCGAUUUCUUCACAGGGGCGGAGCUAGGUGGGGGUUCGUGGGUUCGGAAGAACCCAAUAGCUUUUCCGUAGAUCUUGUAUUUGUACCAAAAAAUUCAAUAAAUAUAUAUAUGUAUAUUAACUCGUGAACCCCUAACAAAACUGAUUGACAACUUAGUGGUAAGGAAGAGGCUGUGAAAAUGCUUUCCACACUAGAGUUGUGGGCUCAAAUCCACUAUCAACAAAAAGUUUAGAACCUCCCAAUUCCUAAUCCUAGCUCCGCCUCUGUAAUAAAUUCUUCAUGUAUUUACUUUUUUUAUAUUUUGAAUUCUUGGAUGAAAAUGCUAGCUCCGCCACUGCCUAAUAAGUGAGAUAUCCACAUUCCUAAUCACUUUAUCAAAACGUAUAUCCUUACAUGUUAAUUUCGUGUCAAAUCAAACAACGUCACACAAAUUAAAAGGAGAAGUAUCUUUUUUCUUCUCCCCUCUUUAUUAUUUUGGUAUGGGCAGUAAGUAAAGUAGUUAGGAAACCGGCCCCACAAAUAUCUAUUAAAGUCUUUCAAAGUAGUAUUCAAACAACAAUGUCUUUCCUCUUGUUGACUUCUCUCAACAAUUUUUUAACUUUCUCCGUAUUAAUUUGUUUGUUUAGUUUUGACUUGACAUUAAGGGUCCAGUUGGCCAUGAGAUAUAAAUUAUGAUCUGAAAUCAUUAAAUAGAGUUGGAGUUUUGUUUGGACAUGUGAUUUGGACUUUUUAUGUUGUUUAUUUUAUCAUAAACAUAAAAAUCCUAUAAGUUAUAAAACUAUUAAAAUUGUCUCAAUUCUUUAUUCAAUCUUACCAAAUAAGCAAAGUUUAUAAAAUUCCAUAAUACAUCACAAAGAUAUUUUUAAAAAUACAGUAUUUAUUGAUCAAACUUUAAUUCAAUUAAAAAAAUAAAAUUAAACAUAUAUAAGUUGUGGUGUACUAGGCUUAAAUAUAGUUCAGCCACAUAGUACAUUCAAUCUUCUCAGUUGAACUUGCAUUUCUCGUUCAUAUGACUGAUAAGACAAACCAACAUUGCUACUUUGAGCCAUUUAUGGUCAAUUUGGUUGGUAAAUUAAUUUGAUAAAAAAUAAUGAAUUUGGUGAAUAUAAAUGGUAAAGUAGAAACUGAUUUGAAGUAGUAAUAAAUUAUAUGUUAGUGAGAAUAAUCAUUAUAUGAGAUGUAUAUGAUUUAAAAAGUAAUGAUAUGAAUUAUAAAUUUUAUUUACAUAUGAAAUAAAUGGUUAGCAGUAUAAAUGUGAUGUUUUACAAAAUAUAAAUUUGUGAGUCAAUUUUUGUAUUUGAAAAAUCUCAAAUUUUGAUUUUUGGAAAAUUUUAGAUUUCAUCUCGAGAUGAAAUAAACAGGAAAUCAUAUGUCCAAACGCCUACCAAAUUUAUUAUUGUGAAUAUUAUGAACUUAGAUUAAAAAUAUAUAAAACAUACCAAAAUAUUGUUUAAUCUUGUGGCCUUAUAUAUAUCGUAUAGAAAAUUAGAAAUAAAGAGUUGACAGACUAAAAUAGAAAGUUAGACAAACAAAUUAAAAUUAAAACAUAAAAUUCAAAAUGAUAAAUACUUUUUCAUCCUAAACUAAAAGUUUCUUGUUCGAGUUUUAUUGGGUAUAAAAUUAUCCUUGUUAGAAAAUAUUUUAGCCCAAUAUAAAAAAUUUCAACACAAAUCAGAUUUAAUCGGCUUCAAUAUAGAUAUCGUACACCAGAUUGGGAAACCAAAAAUGAGUUAAUACUCCCUCUGUCCCAAUUUAUGUGACACAUUUCGAAUUUCGAGAUUCAAACAAGUCUAUCUUUGACCGUCAUUUUUUCAUUUAUCUUUUAAUUAUUUUGAAUUAUCAAUUAUUGAGACUUAUAGUACUUUUUAUGUAGUUUACAAAUAUAUAAAUUUUCAUUUUAAAAAAUUUGAAGAUUCCAUGAGCAAAUUCUCGAUCAAACUUAAACUGUUUGAUUUUCGAAAAGCGAAAUGUGUCACAUAAAUUGAGACAGGGACUUCUUCACAAAGCCACUUUGAUUCAUUUUCAUCAAUAAAACAAAUUUUAUUUCUUUAUUUGUUCCUUUCAUUUUCUUCUCUCUUCUCUCUGUUUCUACAACUUUGACAGCAACGGUUACUUUAUUUGUUCCUUUCAUUUUCUUCUCUUUUCUCUCUGUUUCUACUACUUUGACAGCAACUGUUUCUUUAUUUGUUCCUUUCAUUUUCUUCUCUUUUCUCUUUGUUUCUUCAACACUCCGUUUCUACAACUUUGAUAGCAACUGAUCUAUUUUCACCGGCGAUCUCUCAGUUUCGACUCGAAAAUCGGGUGAAUUCAGACUGUUUAGUUAUCACAAGGAGUUUUGUGAGUGUUUCUUUUUUUUUUCCUUCUUCUUCUGUUUUCACUAAUUAUUAAGUUGUUUGAUCAAAUUUCUAAAAUUAGCUGGUAUGGAAAAGUGUUUUUUCAAAAAAAUAUUUUUUGGUGAGAAAUAAUUUGUGUUUCAUAAAAAUAACUUGAGCAGCAAUUAAUAUUCAUCAAACUUUUAAAAGUGUUUUUAAAUUUGUAAGCCUAACUUAAUUUAUGACUUUUUGAUUUAUUUUUGUUAUUUGGCUUUAAAAAGGAACUUAAAAUCACUUCUUUUAUACACUAUUAUAAAGACAUAAUACAUAAAUAUGUUCUUUAAUGGGUUUUAUUUCACAUUUGUGCCCUUUUAAAUAUGUAAGGCAUAAUACAUAAACAUGACCCUUAACUUGCCUUCAGCGGACAACUAUGCCACCAACUUUGAGUAUGCACAAGUAGACACUUAAACUUGUAUAAAAUUGAAUAAAUAGACACGCGUACCGUAAGGCUAAGUUAAAGGGCAUUUAUGUAUUAUGCCUAUUAUAAAAGUGUUUAAAAACUAUUUUCACUUUAACAAAUCUAAAAUAAGUCAAUCCAAAUAAGCUCUAUAGUAAGUUUUCCUCAAAAGUAUUUACCAAAAAAUUACUUUAUGGAAAAACUACUUUUUUUAGCUUCUGAAAAAUAGCUUCUGUUACACUGGAGAACUUUUUUUUUUCCCCUCAAAAGCUGGACCAAACACCCCAUUUUUGUAAAAUAAUCAAUUUUUACCCUCCAAAUACUUGGCCAAACAGACUAUAUAUUUGUUUGAGUGCAAAUUUGGUAGAACACCUAAUGACCAACCUAAAACUUAGCAUGAAUUAUUAGUUAGAAUGCCUAAACUAUCAAUAGUCUUAAUUACCCUAAACGGGACGAGAUUGUGCGGGGUAAAGACACUAUCAAAUAUCUAAGCUCAGGGGCUUAUUCAGACUAAUAAUAGUUUAGGUAUGCAACGAAUAAUUUGUGUAAAGUUUAGGGGGGUCUUUAUAUUUUCUACCUUGAAAAUUUGGUAAGGAGUAUAUAAACAAAAGAGAACCAUCAGCAGUUGUGGUGGACGGUAAGUACUCCCUACAUUAACAGUUGUAACGGUACUGUGAACACCCAAUAAUUUAAGUACGAAAGUAGCAAAAAGUUAUAAUUUAGCCAAAUAAUAUGUUUUAAGCCAAAAUUAUGAUUUUCAACUACUUAUUUCUUCUCUAGAUGCAAUGACAUUUGUUUGAGUUGUGUAUUUCUUCUUCUUCAAACCAAAUCCGUAAAAGAAAAAAUAGUUGAAAGUCCAUUCAAAUAAAAGUUCCCGCCUAGAAAUGCAGUGCGAUUAGGAGUGAAAGUGGAUGGAGUAGUGUUGGAAUAGCAUCUUUGUAGAAAUUCUUAACAUCUUAAUGAUAUUAAAAUUUUGUUAUAGGUCUUAGUUAUUUAGAUAUACUCAGACUCGUUAAGCGGUGACAAAACAAAAGAACAAAUGAACUUAACGAUUGAUUAAGAUUUAGCCAUUAAAAGGCACAUAUAAUGACUAAAAGAUGAAGAAUUAAGACUCAGACAUUCAUUAAAUGCAAACAAACGCGGCCUAUGUUGAUUUUCUUACAUUGUUUUCUAUGUUGUACAGCUCAUCUAGCAAAAUGGAAGGAGCAACUACUUCAGUGUUAUGUAGUCACUUUGUUGUCAUGUUGAUCCUACUUCUACCAGAUACAUCAGUGGCUGAACCAAGAUCCCAGAUAAUCCGGCUCAUAUGUGGAAACAGAACGACGGUUUCCGUCCCAAAUUUUGUCGGUACAAUGGAAACGUUGAGUGAACAAGUGAGAGCUAGAAGAUAUGGAGUAGCAGUUACUGGCACUAGACCAGAUGCUACCUAUGGAAUUAGCCAAUGCUACGGUGAUCUAUCAUUAGUCGACUGUGUCUUAUGCUUUUCUGAAGUACGAACCCUUAUUCCCCAGUGCUUCCCUUAUAACGGAGCACGAAUUUAUCUUGAUGGCUGCUUUAUGCGAGCGGAGAAUUACAGUUUCUAUGACGAGUAUUUAGGUCCAGAGGACAGGCGAGUAUGCGGAAACAGGACGACAAAGGGUUCAUUGUUCCAACAGAAUGCUAGGGCAGCUGUUCAGCAAGCAGUUGGAAAUGCACCGAGUAAUAAUGGCUAUGCGCGUUCCCAAGUGUCAUUUCCGAGGGAUUCCAAUGAUACAGCUUAUGUUCUCGCUGAUUGCUGGAAGACACUGAGUGCAAAUUCCUGUGCAGCGUGUUUGCAAAAUGCAUCUGCAUCCAUGUUGGGAUGCUUGCCUUGGUCAGAAGGUAGAGCUCUGUACACCGGAUGCUUCAUGAGGUAUUCCGAUACCAAUUUUCUCAAUGCUAUUACUACCAACUGAGGCUGGUCAUCAAGGGGUACUUUUUUCUCUUUUUUCGUCCUGGUUUACCUGUUAUUUAUCGGCUGAACACGUAAAUUUUACUUGCAAAUCACCAUAUUGCAGGAAAAGUUGCAGUCACUAUCAUUGUUGUUAGUUCCGUUGUCGUUUUGGGAGUAGGUGCUUUCAUUGGUAUUGGUGUCUGGAAGAAUAAACUAAUCCAGAAGAAGAGAAAGGGUAAAUACUUUUGUGCCAAAAAUUAGUCAUUAGGAUAUCAAUGAUGUACAUAUAUUGCAUCUUUAUUCGAAAACUUAGAAUAAAAAAAUUUGAACUUGUUAGGUGCAAAUGAUGCCGAGAAAUUAGUGAAGAUACUUCAUGACAUCAGCUUGAACUUCAAGUAUUCGACGCUUGACAAAGCCACGGGGUCAUUUGAUGAGGCCAACAAGCUCGGGCAAGGUGGAUUUGGCACGGUUUAUAAAGUAUGUAAUAGCUGAAUGUAGUGCAAUUCAAUAUAAUACUUGAAGUGUUGGCAAUUAAUCCGAGUUUGAGGCGUGAUUUGUUGCAGGGUGUUUUGGCAGAUGGGAGAGAGAUCGCCGUCAAAAGGCUGUUCUUCAACAACAAACACAGAGUUGCAGAUUUUUAUAACGAGGUUAACAUAGUCAGCAGCAUUGAGCACAAAAAUUUGAUAAGGUUAUUGGGAUGCUGCUGCUCAGGACCGGAAAGCCUUCUUGUAUACGAGUUCCUCCCUAACCAGAGUCUUGAUCACUUCAUAUUUGGUAUGUAAGCGUCAUCCUCCCAAUUUUAUUUACGCUAAACUCAUGUUAUCAUCACACAAACUAAAAAUAAAAGUGAAAAUAAGUAACCGCCAUCGCGUUAAGACUAAAUGUCAUGUUUUCACAUAGCCAUGCCAGAGUGAUUCUAACUUUAAAAUUUGACAGACCCUAUAAAAGGUAAAGCUCUAAACUGGGAGAAAAGAUUUGAGAUAAUUAUUGGUACAGCAGAAGGAUUGGUAUACCUUCACGAGAACACAAAGACCCGAAUAAUCCACAGAGACAUAAAGGCAAGCAACAUCCUGUUGGACUCGAGGCUCCGUGCAAAGAUUGCUGAUUUUGGGUUGGCCAGGUCAUUCCAAGAAGACAAGAGUCACAUAAGCACUGUCCCUGCUGGCACAUUGUCAGUAUUUCUUCGUCUCGUCUUCUAUUUUUUCGCGUAAAAGUACACAAAAAAUGCAAAGACUAAUAUGGUCCAAUAAUGCAGGGGAUAUAUAGCUCCAGAAUACUUAGCACAUGGUCAAUUAACAGAAAAAGCAGAUGUUUACAGCUUUGGAGUUCUUCUACUAGAGAUUGUUACUGGAAAACAAAAUAACAAGAGAAAAAACGACGAAGAUACAGUCAGCUUAGUUUCCAAUGUAAUUUCUGAUCAAUCACUUCUCUCUUGAACCAAAUUUUAAAUCUAGGAAAACAUUUCUGUUCAUUGAUCGUAACUUUAUUAGAUGAAAUUAACAGGUGUGGGAGCACUUUCAACGUGGGAAAGUGGAGGAGCUGUUCGAUCUGAAUCUCAUGUUGCAUAACUGCCAUACAAUCAAUGUACAAAAUGAGGUUGCGAGAGUGUUACAUGUGGGACUUUUGUGCACUCAAGAGAUCCCAAUGUUACGUCCAUUCAUGUCUAAGGCAUUAAAAAUGCUCGUGAAGAAAGACGAAGAGUUGCCUCCUCCUACUAAACCGCCAUUCGUGGAUGAGAAAACCAUGGAACUUCACGACCCUUGGGAGAAGAACUUGCUCAAACAAAGCGAUUCUGCUUCGACUGCCAACUUAUCUCACAGUUCUUUUUACCCCAGAUGAUGAUAUCUCAGUGCUCCUGAACUGAAAGUGAUGUAAAAAUUGUAGUUAUCUCAAGCUGUCAAGCAUAUACUUUCGCCUCGUGUUCUUGAAGGAGACUUCUUCUUGAUCGAUCGAGUAGUUUGUUACAACAACCACAACAACUAUGUUUCUGUCUCAAACAAGUUGAGGUCGGCUAUAUGAAUUCUCAGUAUUCCAUUUAAGCGGUUAGUUGUAAGUUUAAAAUUUCAGAAUACAUUUUUCAAUUUUUUCAUGUAUUAUUUGUCAAUUUGGAAAAUAUUUUAUCUAGGAAAACAAGUUCUUUAAAAAGGAGGAAAAAAUGAUUUUCCUAGGUUGAGAAAACGAGUUUCGCAAGUGACGAAGAAUUUAUCUUGAUGGAUGCUUUUUUCGAGUGGACAAUUACAUGUUCUAUGACCAGUAUUUAGGUCCAGAAGACAGGCAUGUAUGCGGAAACAGGACGACAAAGGGUGCAUUGUUCCAACAGAAUGCUAGGCUAGCCAUUCAGCAAGCAGUUGCAAAUGCACCGAGUAAUGACGGCUAUGCGCGUGCCGAAGUGUCAGUACACGGUCCUUCCAACGAGACAGCUUAUGUUCUCGCUGAUUGUUGGAAGACACUAAGCGCGAAUUCCUGUGCAGCGUGUUUGCAAAAUGCAUCUGCAUCUAUGUUGGGAUGCUUACCUUGGUCAGAAGGUAGAGCCCUUUACACUGGAUGCUUCAUGAGAUAUUCUGAUACAAAUUUUCUCAAUGAUACUUCUACCAGUGGAGGUUCGUCAUCAAGGGGUACGUUUAGCUCUUUUUUCGUCCUGGUUUACCGGUUAUUAUGAACUAAUUUUUACUUUCAAAUUCACCAUAAUGCAGGAAAAGUUGUAGUCAUUGUCAUAGUUGUUGUAAUUAGUUCCGUUGUCGUUUUGGGAGCAGGUGCGUUCGUUGGUUUUGGUGUUUGGAAGAACAAACAAAUCCAGAAGAAGAGAAAAGGUAAAUACUUUUGUGCCAAAAAUAUCAAUGAUGUACAUAUUGCUGAGUAUAUAUCUUGCGAUUUGCACACAACUGUACCGAAACAACUUUCAAGAAUUAACUUGAGGCGUUAUGGCUACUCGUGCUUUUCCUGUGAAAUUUGAACUUGUUAGGUGCAAAUGAUGUUGAGAAAUUAGUGAAGAUCCUUCAUCAAAACAGCUUGAACUUCAAGUAUUCGACACUUGACAAAGCCACGGGGUCAUUUGAUGAGGCCAACAAGAUCGGGCAAGGUGGAUUUGGCACAGUUUAUAAGGUAUGUAAUGGCUGAAUGUUAACAGCAAGGCAAUUAAACAGAGUUUGAGAUACAAUUGUUGCAGGGUGUUUUGGCAGACGGAAGAGAGAUCACCAUCAAAAGGCUGUUCUUCAACAACAAACACAGAGCUGCAGAUUUUUAUAACGAGGUUAACAUAAUCAGUAGUGUCCAGCACAAAAAUUUGACACGGUUAUUGGGAUGCAGCUGUUCAGGACCGGAAAGCCUUCUUGUAUACGAGUUACUCCUUAACCAGAGUCUUGAUCGCUUCAUAUUUGGUAAGUAACCCGACAUUGCAACAACAAUUACUAUACCUCAGUCCCAAACAAGUUAGGGGUCGGCCUUAUGAAUCCUCGCUAUUCUAUUUAUGCUAAACUCAUGUCAUCAUUACUCCAACUAAAAAAAAAGUGAAAAUAAGUUAAACUCAAGAAACCGACGUUGCAUUAAGACUAAGUGGAAUGACUUUGUCAUGUAUAUUGAUUCUAACCUUAAAAUUUGACAGACCCUAUCAAAGGUAAAGCUCUAAAUUGGGAGAAAAGAUUUGAGAUAAUUAUAGGGACAGCAGAAGGAAUGGUAUACCUACACGAGAACACAAAUACACGAAUUAUUCACAGAGACAUUAAGGCAAGCAACAUCCUGUUGGACUCGAGGCUCCGUGCAAAGAUUGCUGAUUUUGGUUUGGCCAGGUCAUUCCAAGAAGACAAGAGUCACAUAAGCACUGCCAUUGCUGGCACAUUGUUAGUAUUUCUUCAUCCCAUCUUCUAAUUUUUCGCGUAAAAGUACACAAAAAAUGGGAUGAUUUACCCUUUUUAUGCAGAGGAUAUAUGGCUCCAGAAUACUUAGCACACGGUCAGCUAACAGAAAAGGCAGACGUCUACAGCUUUGGAGUUCUUGUUACUGGAAGUCAAAAUAACAAGAGAAAAAACGCCGAAUAUGCAGUCAGCUUAGUUUCCAAUGUAAUUUCUGAUCAAUCACUUCUCUCUUGAACCAAAUUUUUAAUCUUGACAAACAUUUACGUUCAUUGGUCUUAACUCUUAUAUUUGAUGAAAUUAACAGGCGUGGGAGCACUUUCAAUGCGGGAUAGUGGAGGAACUCUUCGAUCCCAAUCUCAUGUUGCAUAACUACCAUACAAUUAAUGUGAAAAAUGAGGUUGCAAGAGUGUUACAUGUGGGACUUUUGUGCACUCAAGAGAUUCCAUCAUUACGGCCAUCCAUGUCUAAGGCAUUACAAAUGUUCGUCAAGAAAGACGAAAAGUUGCCUUCUCCUACUAAGCCGCCAUUCGUGGAUGAGAAAACCAUGGAACUUCAUGACCCUUGCGAGAUGUACUCGCUUAAACAAGGCGAUUCUGCUACGACUGCUGACUUAUCUCACAGUUCAUUUUACCCCAGAUGAUGACAUCCCAUUGCCCUGAAACUGAAGUGUAAAAUUGGCCUCAACUGGCAACUAAACACUCCAACUUUGCCUAUGCACAUCUAGACACCUCAUUUCUAAAAGUAGGGGGGGGGGAUUGAAUUAUUUUUGUAGUUUGUCUAUAUAAAAUUAUGAGUUUGAUUUAAUGUGGAUCUGAGGCCUCAUUUGUUUUCAUUAAGAUUUAGACGUUUGAAUCUGAAUACAUAUUUGAAUGAUUAAGAUUGUUUGUUUAAACAUCUGAACGUACAUAAUAUUAUAUAUAAUUCAAACAAAAAUUAGUUAAAUAUUAAUAAAAUAAUUAUUUGAUUUUAAAAGAAUAAAACAUUUUUGCUUGCUAAUGAUGAUGAAGAUACUUUGUAGUGGUGGUGGUAAUAGUUGUUGUUAGUGUCUAGUAAUGAUGGUGGUGGUAGUUGUGAUGGUGGAGGUGGUUGGUGUUGUGGUGAUGACUAUCAUAAUGAUGGCAAUUGGUAGUUGUGUUGGAGGUUGUAAUUGUGAAGUUGGUUGAUGUUAGUGGUUGUCGGUGAUAAUGGUGGUGAUUGAUUAUGUGUUUGUGGUAGUUAGCGGCGAUGCUAGUUAUGAGAUGAAGGUGGUUGGUAGUGGAGAUUGACCACAGUAAUGGUAGUGGCUGAUAGUAGUAGUGGAGGUGGCGGUGGUGGGGUUGUGAUAGAAGAAUGUAUGGUGGUAGUUGGCGGCGGUGCUAGUGUGAUGGUAGCAUUUGUUGGUAGUAGGAAUUUUCUUGAAGACUGAAGUGGUGGUAGUGGUUAAGAGUGGUAGUUGAGGUAGCGGGGGAUGUAGAGACGGGAGGUGGUGAUGACAAUUGAUAUAAUUAUAAUAUGGAGGAGGUAAGUGUGGUAGCAGCUUCCAGUAGUGGUUAGCAAUGGUGAUGGUUGUGAUGACAUAGGUGGUUGGUGGUAGACGACAAUAAUUGUGGUUGGCAAUGGUGGUAGUAGCGGUGGUUGUGAUGGCAGAGGUGAGUAGUGGGGGUUGGUGAUUGUGGAUAGAGUGAUGGUGAAUAUUAUCCUCACAAGAAUACUUUAUGAUGUUAAGACUCGGUUCUAGAUCUUAAUAAUUAACACCAAUUUAAACCAAUUAAUUGCUUAAAUCUUAAUGAAAAUAUAUGUUUUUAAUGGUCUAAUGUUUGAACCAUUCAGAUUCAGACAUCAAUUAAGUGCAAACAAAUGAGGCCUUAUCCUAGUCCCCUUGGGUUGCAAGUUCUCCGUACGUUCUUGAAAUUUGUCUUGUUCUGUGAAGUGUAUUUCCUACGGUAUCUUUUUUCUCUUGAUUAAUCCAAUGCCUCACAACAAUAUUUUUCCUCUCUUACCCUAUUUUGAUUACACAGUGUCACAUUAGUGUCGGGUGUUCAUGAAACACAAUGAGGAUGAGUUGGAUGGUAUAGUUGUUUGUUGAGACCAAGUUGAGGUGUCUAGAUGUGUAUUCAUAAAGUUAGAGUGAUGAGGUCAAAUUUGAGUGAUUGUUUAUGUAUUAUAUCUAAAUGAUAAGCAUCUUUUUGCCUCGUCUUCUUGAAAUAGACUUUAUCACGAUCGAGUUGUUAGCUACUUUAGAUCCUUACGCGGUGCAAAUUUAUAUUAGUUGAAUUUUUGAAUUUCAAAUAUCAUAUAAAAUAUACCAAACAAUCAAGCAAGCAACUUGUAAAUAAAUAUAUUUCUAAAAAGUCGUACAUCAACAUCUUAAAAAGUCCUGCACUUGUUUUUCCUUCUAUAAAUUGAAAGUUAAAUCAAUUUCUAAUAAGAACGCAUGUGAAACCUUUAUAGUACCAUAAAUAUUAGUAUAUCUUUUUUUCAAAGACAAACUUCAAAAUUUUUACAUCCACACAUAGAAUUAUAACAUGUCAAAGAUCACAAAAAUAUUUAUUUUCUUGUUAAUUUUCGUAUCAAAUUAAACUUUAUCAUAUAAAUUUGAACAGAAGAAUAUGUUUCUUUCUUCUUCUUUUCUUCUUCUCCUUUGGCAGUAAAUGUACAGUAGAAAAAGACCCUUGUAGACUUCCUAGCCUUUAUUUUGAAAAAUUCAAACAAAUAAUCCUUCCAACAAAUUCUUCCUCUUGUUCACACACAAAAUAAAAUAAAAUAAAUUAUGGUAGAGUAAUAAAUAUUCUUUAUUUUUAAUUAAAAAUUUUAAAUUCAAACUCCAUAGCAUCGUUUUUGUCAGAGAAUAUUUUCUUCACCCCCAAUAUAAAGUUUUUCGGCAUGAUAUAAAUAUGGGACACCAACUUAUCUCCUUUCUACGAUGUAAAAUUUUUCAGCAUGCAUUCAAAUUUAAUCCACUCUAAUAUAGAUAUCAAAUAUCGCCGCCUCGAAAAAAAAAGUUGGAAGUAAAAAAACUUCCCUCACAAAACGACCCACUAAUUAAUACUACCUCCGUCCACUUUUAAUUGUCAUAGUUUUCUUUUUUAGAGUCAAAUUAUAAAAACUUUGACUAACAUUUCACAAUAUAUUCAUAUUGAUAGGUAAAAAAAAUUGCAAUUUAUAGUACUUUUCGUAUAGUUUUUGAAUACCUAAAUUUUUUGUUCAAAAUAUAAAAUUAAUGUAAUCUAAUUUAACUUUAAAAAUAAGUCAAAUUGACUUUCGAAAAGCCCAACAUGGCAAAUAAAAGUGGACAUACGGAUUAUAAAUUGCCCUUCAUUUUUCCUGUUUUCUCUGUUUCUACAACUUCGGCAGCAGCUGAUCAGUUUGCACCGGCGAUAUCUCUCUUUUCCGACUCAAAAUCCGGCGAAUUCAAACCGUUCAGUGUUCACAAGACUUUGUGAGUGUUCUUUCUAUUUUCAGUGAGAUUCAAUGAUUGUGGCAGGCGGUAAAAAAUCCUUCGUACUUAAUAAGUAAGAGUUAUCAAGUUCGAGCUUUAGAAAUGAAGUUAGCUCUUUAAUUUGAGCUGAAUUUGGGCGGGUUAAAUCAAUGAAUGGGUUAUUGUCUGGGUUAAACAACGGGUCAUAGCUCAAUUCGUCUUACUUGACCCAUUACUUGUACAAAUUUCAAACUCAUAUUCUAUGGUAUUUCUAUGGUGUUUUACAUAUAUAAAUAAGAAUAGCAUUUGAUAUCUGGUAUUGUUUUGUUUUGUUUUUGUAGUGAAUAAGAUUCAAUAAUUGCUUAGUUUUCCUGUUAUGAAUUGUGCUAUGUUUAAUUUCAUGGGAUAGAUGAUAUUUAGUUACUCCCUUAGCCUGAAAUGGGCGGGUCAAUAAUCAAUCCAAACUUGGGGAGGUUUGGCGGGUUAUGAUUUCAUGGGAUAAUUAUGUCAUCCUUAGUGAUGGCGGGUAGUAGCUAGUGAUGGUGAUGGUUGGUGGGGUGGUUAACAAUGGUAAUUGAUGGUGGUGGCUACCGAUAAUUGUGAUGGAUGGUAGUAAUAGUUAAUAGGGGUGGUGACUAAUAGCGGUGAUUGGUGAUGGUGGCGAUUGCCCAUAAUGAUUGGUGAUUAUUAUGGUAAUGCUAAUUGGUGGUGAUAGUUGUAAAUGAUGACUGACUGCAGAGAUUGAGGGAAUGGUAGCUGUGGAUGAGGAUGGUGAUUGUGGAGUUGUGAUAAUUGAUAUGAGUGGACAACAAUGAUGACAACGAUUAGCAGUUGUCCCGCCUUUGUUAAAAAAUAUUUUCAUAUUUUUCAAGAUCAAAAGGGUUAUCAACAUUGAAAGUGACAAAAUUGUGUUUCUAAAACAAGUCCAACUCCAAAUGACUUAUCAUCAAUAGAGAUUUCGGUUAAGAAAUUUGGUUGACUGAGGGGAAGGUGUUGGGCACCCUCAAGUAUCAUGGUUCUGGCAUGGAAGAAAACUUUAAUUUCUUUCUCUUUAUGGAUAACCAAUUAAUUUCCAAAUAUAGUUGGGAGAAUUUACCCAAGAAAUGGGCCAAAAAAAUGGAAAGAUCGGAACAUGGGAAUAGAUCUGAUACCAAUACAGACUACCUAUUUCAAUUGUUGUGCUUUAUGAACCUAUACAAGGGUUCAAGUUUCAAUCGAUAUUUGCGGAGUUGAUUAUCCCUCUCGAAAACAAAGAUUUGAAGUGGUCUAUAUGUUUACUGAGUAUUCGGUAUAACUCACUCAUUCGUGUACAAACCAGUGCAGACGAAGUAACACGAAUAUCUCCGAUGGUCAGUCUAUUUCCAUCAGCCGGCCGGUGGGAGCGAGAAGUUUGGGACAUGUUUGGUGUUUCUUCGCUUUACUGACUCGUAUUGGCUUAAAAUAAAAACUUAACUAAACAAACUCACACACACCCAAGUGUGCGCACAAACAAGGUGUUCUAAAACAAUGUCCGAACUAUUACAGUCCAAAACAAACUAUUUUCUUAUGUUUUUUCUCUAAUAGUAGUUCAAUUAGUCCUCUCACAUUGUUUCUGUGUUGUACAGCUCAUUUGGCAAAAAUGGAAAGAGCAACCCCUUCAAUGUUAUUUAGUCACUUUGUUAUUGUGUUGAUCCUACUUCUACCAGAUACAUCAGUGUCUGAACCAAGAUCCCAGAUAGUCCAGCUCAUAUGUGGAAACGAAACAACAGGUACCGUCUCAAUUUUUGUUAAUGGAAUGGAAACUAUAAGUGAACAAAUGAGAACUAGAGGAAAUGGAGUAGCGGCUACAGGCACUGAACCAAAUGUUAGCUAUGGACUUGGCCAAUGCUAUGGUGAUCUUUCAUUACCGGACUGUGUCUUAUGCUUCUCUGAAGUGCGAACCCUUUUUCCCAAGUGCUUCCCUAGUGGCAAGUCGCGAAUUUAUCUUGAUGGCUGCUUUAUGCGAGUGGACAAUUACAAUUUCUAUGACCAGUAUUUUGGUCCAGAGGAUAGGCAUGUAUGCGGAAACAGGACGACAAAGGGUUCAUUGUUCCAGCAAAAUGCAAGGCGAGCCAUUCAGCAAGCAGUUGCAAAUGCACCGAGUAACAAUGGUUACGCGCGUGCUCAAGUGUCAGUGCCCGGGUCUUCCACCAUGACAGCUUAUGUUCUCGCUGAUUGCUGGAAGAAGCUAAGUGCAAACUCCUGCGCAGCGUGUUUGCAAAAUGCAUCUGCAUCCAUGUUGGGAUGCUUGCCUUGGUCAGAAGGUAGAGCCCUUUACACUGGAUGUUUCAUGAGGUAUUCUGAUACAAAUUUUCUCAAUACUAUUUCUACCAGUGGAGGCUCGUCAUCCAGUGGUACGUUUUUCUCUUUUUUCGUCCUGGUUUACUGGUUAUUUAUAAACUAAUUUUUACUUUCAAAUCACCAUAUUGCAGGAAAAGUUGUAGUCAUUGUCGUUGUUGUUGUUAGUUCCGUUGUCGUUUUGGGAGUAGUUGCAUUCAUUGGUUUUGGUGUCUGGAAGAACAAACAAAUCCAGAAGAAGAGAGAAGGUAAAUACUUUUGUGCCAAAAAUUAGUUAUAAAAGUCAUUAAGAUAUCAAUAUAUUGCUGAGUAUAUAUCUUGCGAUUUGCACACAACUGUUCCGAAGACAACUUUCAAGAAUUAACUUGAGGCGUUAUGACCUACUCGUGCUUUUCCUGGGAAAUUUGAACUUGUUAGGUGCAAAUGAUGUUGAGAAAUUAGUGAAGAUCCUUGAUCAAAACAGCUUGAACUUCAAGUAUUCGACACUUGACAAAGCCACGGGUUCAUUUGAUGAGGCCAACAAGCUCGGGCAAGGUGGAUUUGGCACAGUUUAUAAGGUAUACAAUGGCUGAAUGUAGUGUGAUUAUCUUAACAGCAAUGCAAUACCAGAAGUGUUGGCUAUUUAACAGAGUCUGAGGUGCAUUUUGUUGCAGGGUGUUUUGGCUGACGGGAGAGAGAUCGCGGUCAAAAGGCUGUUCUUCAACAACAAACACACAGCUGCAGAUUUUUAUAACGAGGUUAACAUAAUCAGUAGCGUCCAGCACAAAAAAUUUGACAAGGUUAUUGGGAUGCAGCUGCUCAGGAACGGAAAACCUUCUUGUAUACGAGUUACUCCCUAACAAGAGUCUUGAUCGCUUCAUAUUUGGUAAGUAACCAGACUUUGCAACAACAACUACGCCUCAGUCCCACACAAGUUAAGGUCAGCUAUAUAAACCCUCACUAUGUUAUUUAAGCUAAACUCAUGUCAUCAUUGCACCAACUAAAAAGAAAAGUACAAAUAAGGUAACCGACUUUCAUUAAGACUAAGUGGUGUGUUUUCACAUAAGCACGCCCGAAUGAUUUUGUCACGUAUAUUGAUUCUAACCUUCAAAUUUGACAGACGCUAUCAAAGGUAAAGCUCUAAAUUGGGAGAAAAGAUUUGAGAUAAUUAUAGGGACAGCAGAAGGAUUGGUCUACCUACACGAGAACACUAAGACCCGAAUAAUUCAUAGAGACAUAAAAGCAAGCAACAUCCUGUUGGACUCGAGGCUCCGUGCAAAGAUUGCUGAUUUGGUUGGCCAGAUCAUUCCAAGAAGACAAGAGUCACAUAAGCACUGUCAUUGCUGGCACAUUGUUAGUAUUUCUUCGUCUCAUUGUUUAUUUUUUUCGCGUAAAAGUACACAAAAACAAAUAAUGGAUGAUUUACCCUUUUUAUGCAGAGGAUAUAUGGCUCCAGAAUACUUAGCACGCGGUCAGCUAACAGAAAAAGCAGACGUUUACAGCUUUGGAGUUCUUCUACUAGAGAUUGCUACUGGAAGACAAAAUAACAAGAGAAAGAACACCGAAUAUACAGUCAGCUUAGUUUCCGAAGUAAUUUCUGAUCAAUCACUUCUCUCUUGAACCAAAUUUUAAAUCUAGGAAAACAUUUCUGUUCAUUGAUCUUAACUUUAUUGGAUGAAAUUAACAGGUGUGGGAGCACUUUCAACGCGGGAUAGUGGAGGAACUGUUCGAUCCAAAUCCAAUGUUGCAUAACUGCCAUACAAUCAAUGUACAAAAUGAGGUUGCGAGAGUGUUACAUGUGGGACUUUUGUGCACUCAAGAGAUCCCAACAUUACGUCCAUUCAUGUCUAAGGCAUUAAAAAUGCUCGUGAAGAAAGACGAAGAGUUGCCUCCUCCUACUAAUCCGCCAUUCGUGGAUGAGAAAACCAUGAAACUUCACGACCCUUGGGAGAAGAACUUGCUCAAACAAGGUGAUUCUGCUUCGAUUGCCAAGUUAUCUCACAGUUCUUUUUACCCCAGAUGAUGAUAUCUCAGUGCUCCUGAACUGAAAGUGAUGUAAAAAUUAUAGUUAUCUCAAGCUGUCAAGCAUAUUCUUUCGCCUCGUGUUCUUGAAGGAAACUUCAUCGUGAUCGAUCGAGCAGUUUGUUACAACAACUAUGUUUCUAUCUCAAACAAGUUGAGGUCAGCUAUAUGAAUUCUCAGUAUUCCAUUUAAGCGGUUAGUUGUAAGUUCAAAACUUCAGAAUACAUUUUUCAAUUUUUUCAUGUAUUAUUUGUCAAUUUGGAAAAUAUUUUAUCUAGGAAAACAAGUUCUUUAAAAAGGAGGAAAAAAUGAUUUUCCUAAUGAAAGUUGAGAAAACGAGUUUCGCAAGUGACAUCCCAACUAUGUUGACUUCCACAUGUCUUUUUUUUGUUGCUUUUAUUGUUUCCACUUCUUUGUUGCAUAAGUGCAAGGGCAGAGGUAGGUAGGGUCAUAAGUGUUCAUCUGAAUCCCCUUCGAUGGAAAAUUAUACAUCCUCCGUUUAGAAAAGAAUGACCUCGUUUCACUUGACACGGAGUUUAAAAAAUAAAGAAGACUUCUCAAUCUUGUGAUUUUAAAUUAAAGUUAUGUCAAAUAUAUCAAAAUGUCCCUUAAUCUUGUGGACAUAAACAUGUCACGUGAAAAUUGAAAUUAAAGUGUUACCAAAAAAGGAAAGGGGUCGUUCUUUUUCAAACCGACUUGAUAGGAAAACAAUUGAAAUGGAGGGAGUACUAUUUAUACAUGUUUAAAUUUUUAUUUGUUUAAGGUAUAUACGGUAGAUGGUGAACAUUGUAUUUCCAUCCCUAGUCACUUUAUCAAAAUAUGUAUUCAACAUAUUAAUUUCAUUUUAAAAUUUCAUGUCAAAUCAAAAUCAUAUCACGCAAAUUGAAAGAGGAGAAGUAUCUUUUUUCUUCUCCUCUUCUUUAUUAUUCUGGAUUGGGCAGUAAGUAAAGUAAUUACAAAAAAGGCCCCACAAAUAUCUAUUAAAGUCUUCUAUUGUACUGUUUUAAGUUCGUUUGAAAAAUUCAAACAACAAUGUCUUUCCUCUUGUUGACUUCUCUCAACAAAAAAAUAAAAUAAAAUUACUUCCUCCGUAUUAAUUUGUUCGUCUAGUUUUGAUUUGACAUUAAAUUUAAAUUAUUAUUUUGAAUAUUAUGAUAUCAAUUACUGUUUAAUCUUAUGGUCUUAAACAUGUCAUAUAGUAUGUUAGAAAUAAAGAGUUGUCGGAGUAAAAUGGAAAGUAGUACAAACAAAUUGAAACGAAGAGAUUAUAAAAUAAUGGGAGUUGCCCCAAAAUCAUCUUAUACUCUUUCAUCCUUAGCUAAAAAUUCCAGAUUCGAGCCUGUUUAUUUUAUCCCAAUAUAAAAAAUUUCAACACGAAUCCUAAUUUAGUCGGCUUCAAUACGGAUAUCAUCAUACUUGACACCAGAUUAGGAAACCAAAAAUAGUAUAAAAGGACUUCUCUCACAAAGCGACCCAUUAAUUCAAAGCCACUUUGAUUCAUUUUUCAUCAAUAAAACAAAUUUUCUUCUCUUUUCUCUCUAUUUCUUCAUCACUCUGUUUCGACAACUUUGACAGUAGCUGAUCAGUUUUCACCAGCGAUCUCUCUGUGCCGACUCGAAAAUCCGGCGAAUUCAGACUGUUUAGUGAUCAGAAGGAGUUUUGUGAGUGUUUUUUUUUCCCUUUUUCACUAAUUAUUAAGUUAUUUGAUCAAAUUUCUAAAAUCAGCUUAUAUUGAAAAGUGUUUUUCAAAAUAAAAAUAAAAAUUGGUGAUUAACAGUUAGAGUUCAGCCAAUAAACUUAUAAAAAUAACUUGAGCAGCAAUUAUAACUUAUGGCCCCAUAUGUUUUUACUAAUAUUCAGACGUCCAAAUUUGAACACACAUCUCAAUUUUAUUGUAUUAAUCUUAAGAUAUCUGAAUACGAAUAUAUAUAUCUAUAUAUAUGAAUAUAAAAUUGUUGUAUUGAGAUCUGAAUAUUAAAUAAUUAAGAUUGUUCGUUUUUUCAAUAUCUGAAUGUACAAAAUUUGUCCUUAAUUAUAAACUAAUAAAUAAAAAAUUCAAAUAAAAUACUGAGUAAUCUAAUACAGUAUCAUCAAAUUAUUUUAGAAAUUUAAUCUGAUUGUUGGUGGUGAUGGAUGGUUGAUAGUGAUGAUUGUGAGUGCCAAAUGAUGAUUGUGGUUGGUGAUGAUUGAUGUUGGUUGAUGUCAGUUGUUGUGGGUAGAGGCUAGUGAUAAUGGUGGCUAAAAGUUAGGGGCAGAGCUAACAUUCCGAUUAUGCGUUUGGCAGAACAUAGAAGGUUUUUACAUAGAUCCCAUAUUUGUGUUAAAAAAUUACUUAAUAUGUAUAAAUAACUUAUCAAGAACGCAGUAACUUUCUUGUUGUGGAAUCUAAAAUUCGUAAACUCAAAAUUCUAACUCUGUCUCUGCUGAUAGUAGUGGCUAAUAAUGGUUGUAGAUGGUGGCCGGUGGAUGAGAAUAAUAGUUAAUGGUGAUGAUGAGUGAUCACAAUGAUUGAUGAUAUAUAGUGGAGACUGUCGGUAGUGAUUGGUGGUGAUGAUCGUAAAUGAUGACUAGUGGUGAUUGGUGACGACGUCAGUUGUGGUUAUGGAUGGUGCUCAAUAGUACUCACAUUGUUUUCUAUGUUGUACUUGUACAGCACGCGCCCAUCUAGCAAAAUGGAAGGAGCAACUCCUUUAGUGUUAUGUAGUCACUUUGUUGUCAUGUUGAUCCUACUUGUACCAGAUACAUCAGUGGCUGAACCAAGAUCCCAGAUAAUCCAGCUCAUAUGUGGAAACAAAUCGACGGUUUCCGUCCCAAAUUUUGUUGGUACAAUGGAAACGUUAAGUGAACAAGUGAGAGCUAGAGGAUAUGGAGUAACCGUUACUGGCACUGGACCAGAUGCUACUUAUGGAAUUAGCCAAUGCUAUGGUGAUCUUUCAUUAAUUGACUGUGUCUUAUGCUUCUCUGAAGCGCGAACCCUUUUUCCCCAGUGCUUCCCUUAUAACGGAGCGCGAAUCUAUCUUGAUGGCUGCUUUAUGCGAGCGGAGAAUUACAGCUUCUAUGAUCAGUAUUUAGGUCCAGAGGACAGGCGAGUAUGCGGAAACAGGACGACAAAGGGUUCAUUGUUCCAACAGAAUGCUAGGGCAGCUGUUCAGCAAGCAGUUGGAAAUGCACCGAGUAAUAAUGGCUAUGCGCGUUCCCAAGUGUCAUUUCCCAGGGAUUCCAAUGAUGCAGCUUAUGUUCUCGCUGAUUGCUGGAAGACUCUGAGUGCGAAUUCCUGUGCAGCGUGUUUAUGAAAUGCAUCUGCAUCCAUGUUGGGAUGCUUGCCUUGGUCAGAAGGUAGAGCUCUGUACACUGGAUGCUUCAUGAGGUAUUCUGAUACCAAUUUUCUAAAUGCUAUUUCUACCAACGGAAGCUCGUCAUCAAGGGGUACUUUUUGUUCUUUUUUCGUCCAGGUUUACCUGUUAUUUAUCGACUGAACACGUAAAUUUUACUUGCAAAUCACCAUAUUGCAGGAAAAGUUGUAGUCACUAUCAUUGUUGUUAGUUCCGUUGUCGUUUUGGGAGUAGGUGCUUUCAUUGGUAUUGGUGUCUGGAAGAAUAAACUAAUCCAGAAGAAGAGAAAAGGUAAAUACUUUUGUGCCAAAUAUCAAUGAUGUACAUAUAUUGCAGCUUUAUUCGAAAACUUAGAAUAAAAAAAAUUGAACUUGUUAGGUGCAAAUGAUGCCGAGAAAUUAGUGAAGAUACUUCAUGACAUCAGCUUGAACUUCAAGUAUUCGACGCUUGACAAAGCCACGGGGUCAUUUGAUGAGGCCAACAAGCUCGGGCAAGGUGGAUUUGGCACGGUUUAUAAAGUAUGUAAUAGCUGAAUGUAGUACAAUUCAAUAUAAUACUUGAAGUAUUGGAAAUUAAACCGAGUCUGAGGCGUGAUUUGUUGCAGGGUGUUUUGGCAGAUGGGAGAGAGAUCGCCAUCAAAAGGCUGUUCUUCAACAACAAACACAGAGUUGCAGAUUUUUAUAACGAGGUUAACAUAGUCAGCAGCAUUGAGCACAAAAAUUUGAUAAGGUUAUUGGGAUGCAGCUGCUCAGGACCGGAAAGCCUUCUUGUAUACGAGUUCCUCCCUAACCAGAGUCUGGAUCGCUUCAUAUUUGGUAAGUAAGGGUCAUCCUCACUAUUUUAUUUACGCUAAACUCAUGUUAUCAUCACAGAAACUAAAACUAAAAGUGAAAAUAAGUAACCACCAUCGUGCUAAGACUAAACGUCAUGUUUUCACAUAACCAUGCCAGAGUGAUUCUAACUUUAAAAUUUGACAGACCCUAUAAAAGGUAAAGCUCUAAAAUGGGAGAAAAGAUUUGAGAUAAUUAUAGGUACAGCAGAAGGAUUAGUAUACCUACACGAGAACACAAAGACACGAAUAAUACACAGAGACAUAAAGGCAAGCAACAUCCUGUUGGACUCAAGGCUCCGUGCAAAGAUUGCUGAUUUUGGAUUGGCCAGGUCAUUCCAAGAAGACAAGAGUCACAUAAGCACUGUCCUUGCUGGCACAUUGUCAGUAUUUCUUCGUCUCGUCUUCUAUUUUUUCGCGUAAAAGUACACAAAAAAUGCAAAGACUAAUAUGGUUCAAUAAUGCAGGGGAUAUAUGGCUCCAGAAUACUUGGCACAUGGUCAAUUAACAGAAAAAGCAGAUGUUUACAGCUUUGGAGUUCUUCUACUAGAGAUUGUUACUGGAAGACAAAAUAACAAGAGAAAAAAAGACGAAGAUACAGUCAGCAUAGUUUCCGAUGUAAUUUCUGAUCAUUUCUCUCUUGAACCAAAUUUUAAAUCUAGGAAAACAUUUCUGUUCAUUGGCCUUAACUUUAUUGGAUGAAAUUCACAGGUGUGGGAGCACUUUGAACGCGGGAUAGUGGAGGAGCUGUUCGAUCUGAAUCUCAUGUUGCAUAACUGCCAUACAAUCAAUGUACAAAAUGAGGUUGCGAGAGUGUUACAUGUGGGACUUUUGUGCACUCAAGCGAUCCCAACGUUACGUCCAUUCAUGUCUAAGGCAUUAAAAAUGCUCGUCAAGAAUGACGAAGAGUUGCCUCCUCCUACUAAGCCACCAUUUGUGGAUGAGAAAACCAUGGAACUUCAUGACCCUUGGGAGGAUUACUCACUUAAACAAGGCAGUUCUUCUUCAAUUGCCAACUUAUCUCACAGUUCUUUUUACCCCAGAUGAUGAUAUCUCAGUCCCCUGAAAUUGAAACAUAGAUUAUUGGCAUAUACAUAGACACAGUCUAGUCCCCUUUGGUUGCAAGGGUGUUCUAUGUGAGUUCGUGAAGUUUGUCGUGUACAAGAUAUGUGAAGUGUAGUUCCUAAGUCUAUAUA
rnacentral:lncRNA from 1 species